UCAGCUGGAAAAGAGUCUUAAAGCCCAGAUUGAUGCUUGGGAGCAGGAGCACGAAAAGGAGUUUCUGGUCAAUGGACAGAAAUUCCUUGAGUACGUGCAGCAGCAGUGGGAUCACCACCACGCUGAAAAGGAGAGGGAGAAACUGGAGAGGCAAAUGAAGAAAGUCAAACAGAUACAGGAAGACAUGUUAUAUGGAACUACAACGAAAACACCAUCCAAAAGGCCGAUGGGAGGGACUUUCACGCCUGGAAAAGUGAGAAAGCUCAAUGGCAUCUCCACCAUGUCCACUCCUAACAGCUUCCUCAGUGGAACCAUGUUCCAAUCGUCCGGCUCCAAACCCCCUCUGUCAUCCAGCAAGGUGAGCCCCCUGUCUCUCUG